AGAGGAACCUGGGAGUUAUGAUGAUAGAAAAAGACCUGGACGAAAGAGAGUUACUACAAAAGCAGAUGAUAAACAUAGCAUUGUCACCAGUAAGAGAGAUCGGCGAAAGACAGCACCAAAAAUAAGGGAGGAAAUCAACAUGACAAGGUCAAAACCCAUAUCUCUGACAACUGUGAAAUGACGUUUGAGAAAGGCUGGUCUGAAGGGUUGUGUAUCUGCA